UCACGGCCAAUCCCAAGAGGUAAUGGCAGAACCUGCUCCCCAAGGCGAUAGGAUGUGACAACGCCAACUCCGACGAACGGGAUCCUUCCGAUGAAGGAAGGCUCAACCGUUGUGAUGCCGGAAAAGGCUCGAUUCACGACGAUUUAUCAUUGGAUUUUACGAAAAUUAAAUUUUUUCGCCCCAAAGUUUUGUAAUUCGUCGAUGUAGAAAACGAUCAAUCAAGAAAAUUGGUAAUUCGAGAUGGGUGUGACUCGAUAUCUAAAAGAAAAAAGUAAGAAAAAAUUGAGGCGUGGAAGAUGAAACCCUAGAGAGUUGCAGACGCUGAAUAGAAAGAGGCAUGGAGCUUAAAAUAUAGGCCGGGGAGUGCGUUGCAAGCCGUCCGAUUUGGCUGAUCUACUAUAACGAUGAGAGUAAUCGGACCGUUGUUAUUAGGGCUUUUUUUUGGGGGGGGAGAAAGUGGGGGCUUGGAAGUUGGACAACCCGACUCUUCAUGAAUUUUUGAAUGAGAGUUACUUAAUUCUUUCACAUAAAACAUCGUAUAAACUAAUUUUAAUCGUUUUUUUAUAUGCGUUUCUAAAACAAUUAAUAUUCAAAAAAAAAAAAUAAUGCAACAAUAGAAGGGAAAUUGGUAAUUAACUUUUGAGUAAAUUACACGAAUGGUGCAUAUGGUUUAGGAUAAUUUGGAUGAAUGGUUCAUAUGGUUUAAGAUAAUUUGUGUGUUUGUUUUUUAAGUUUUUUUUUUACCCGUAAGAUCUUUAUUGUUUGUUUUUUGUUAUACGUUUGGUCCAUGUCUUAUCUAAAAAUACUAUUUUGCCCUUUAUUUUUUGAUUUAUUUAAAUAAACACACCCCUAACCCCAUCUCAUCACUUUACCUUACUUACUCCAUCAUUUUUCCCUAUUUAAAUAAUAGUAUUUUUAAGUAAGAUAUGGACUAAGUGCGUAACAAAAACAAACAGUAAGGAUCAAAAGCGUAACAAAAACAAAUAGUAAGGGCCUCCCGAGUUAAAAAAAUCAAUUAAGGACCAAGCACGUAAAUUACCCCAAACCAUAGGGACCAUUCGUGUAAUUUACUUUUAACUUUUCGAUUUGUUUAUAACUAUUUUUUCUUUUUUUGUACACAUCUAAGCAACAAAUUUUUUGAAAGCGUUCACAUAUGACCAUUAUGACCGGCUGUAGCAGAUUACAUCCGAUCAUAAUUGUGAUAUGUGAACACUUUCAACAAAUUCGUUACCUAAAUUUGUACAAAAAAAAAGUUAUCCAAAUAUCAGCAAAGAUAAGAAUAAAUUACACGAAUGGUCCCUAUGGUUUAGGCUAAUUUCCGUGUUUGGUCCUUAACUUUUUUUAACUCGGAUGGUCCACGCUAUUUAUUUUUGUUGCGCGUUUGGUUAAUAUCUUACCUAAAAAGACUAUUGUGCUCUUAAUAAUUUAUAUUUUAAUUAAUUUUUUUAUUUUUGUAUUUAUUUUUUAUAUAUUUAAAGAAAUUAAUAGACCCCGCAUAUUUGUAUUUCAUCAUCCUAAACCUAAAACCACAUUUGAGAAAUUUAAUUUGGGUCCUACCAGCCGCCAUCCUAUCUCUCAUCCUCUUCAACUUAUAUUUUCUUUCCAUCUUUAUUGACAUCGACGUCUUCACCAUCCAUUUGUUUUGGUUCUUUAACUUCGACGCACCAACACCACAACCCACUGUCUCUAUAAGGUCACACAUAGAUCAGUUUUAGCAUCUACAUCUAUAGCGUCAGCAUAUCAAGCUUAUCGUCAACUUACAGUUCGGUUGUCUGAUUGUAAUCUUUUUUAUAUUAGGUAAUGAUAUAGAUAAUGUAACAUCCAUAAAAUUCAAGCUAGUUUAAAAAAAAUUCAACCAAUUAUAAAUUGAAAUUAUUACAAAGUGUUUUCAAAAUAGUUUCAUAUCAGAGUUCCCAAAAAUCAUAAUCAUAAAUCGAGGAAGUGUACGGUCACGCCUUCAACUUCUCGCGGUCAUCUGUUGUACCUGAAACAAUAAUCAAUAAAUGUAAGCUCGAAGCCUUAGUGAGUUACCCCUAAAAUACCAAAGCCAUGCCGAUAUAACAAUAUCAUAUAAACAUAUAAGCAAACACAGCACAACAUGCAUCUCAAGUUUACAGUAUGACUGGUCCGCCCGCACCGGGCCUUCAGUCCACCUGGUCCACUCUCUGAGUAUACAGUAUGACUGGAUCGCCCGCACCGGGCCUUCAGUCUAUCUGGCCCACUCUCCGAGCCUCGGCACGUCUGGACCGCCCUCUCGGGGCCUUCAUCCUAUCCGGACCGCUCGUCCGGCCUUCGGCCUAACUAUGUAACCUCCCGGGCCUGCAGUCUAUCUGGUCCGCAUUGGGUAUGUUGGCCUACAGCACGAAGCAGGACCCGCCUCAACCCAAUCCCCCAUACCAACAAAUAAUCAUGUGCACAUAAAUAUCCUACGCUAGCAUGUAUAUAACAAAUAAUCAUAUCGAUCUAACUGAUCACUAACACGACAACCAUCCUAUAACCAGGACACCGACCUAACUGAUCACUAACAUAGCAUCAUCCUAUAUAUCAGGAUACCGACCUAAACCAGGUCACUAAACAUGAUACCAUCCUAACUACCAUGAUACCGACCUAAAUCAGGUCACUAACAUAAUACCAUCCUAACUACCAAGAUGCAAAUCUAGCAGAUCAAUAAACACAUCAUGCAAAUACCUGGAUACAAAUCCGAUAAAGGUUCGGCCUUGGUGUCUUAGACCCUGUUGAUAUCUUGAGGAUAACUCACCUCGCAAUGUCAAUCUGAACUGAAGAAUUGAACUCCCGAAUCGUUGUCUCACCAAAAAUCCCGAACUAUCCAAAUAAUGAAUAUUAAGUUAAUAAAUGAGAAUACUAAUCUUGACUAAGAAUCCACAUAGUCCAUUUCGCCUUUUUAUCUAAUUUGGGCCAAGGCCCAAAAUCAAAUUCACUAUCUAAAAGUCUUUAUACAUAAGCCCAUUAAUGGCCCAAUUUUCCAAAUUGGGCCCCUAUCCCUAAUUGGGCCUUGUUAUAUAAUCUAUUACCAAAACUGGCCCAAAACAUCAUGCUCAAAAAGUCCAGCAAGGCCCAUGUCAAACUGACCCAAGAGUGGCCCACCCCCGAAGCCCAAAAUAUGAAAAGCCCAAUAGAGGGCGUACGCGGGGCGUACUCCUUUGGUACAUUGGGCGUACUCUUCCUGACGUUGACCACCAUCGGGGUGGUUGAGCUAGUAUGAUGGGCGUAUGGGAUUUACUCGGGACGUAUGUAGGGUUUUGCCAAAACCCUAAUAAUUGCUUAAUGGCUUAAGCACUUAAGCCCAAACUUCAGACCCAUUGACCAAAAUUGUUUUGGAACCAUAAAGUCUCGAACUUUAUCACUUUGGACGUCCAGAAAGCUCUUAAUCCAUGGUCUUAAUCCAUUAAGACCUUUCUACUACAAGCAUGGGACAUCUUAAGCCAUUGGGACCCCAUUUAUCAUUUAGGACCUCUUUAAGGGUCUGAAAGGACAACUUAUCUUGUCCAGGUCACAUCAUGCACCAACUUGGGACUUUUAGGACAAGAAAUGGUUUCUUGAAGCUAAAAUGGCAAGAUCUAUAACAUACAUGCAUAAAGUUUGAAGCUUUUUACCUUAUGGAGUUUCCAGGGCACCAAACAACUUCAGAUCUACUAGCUUGUUCUCCUUCUCCAACUCCUUGAUGCAACACCUUAUUCUCCAACUACUCAAAAUGCACUCUAUGAGCUCACACACUCAAGGAAAUGAUUAGGGUUUGGGGAAAACGACUCAAAACAGUGGAGGCCGAGGUAAGGGAUAGUUAUGAGCUCAUAAGGAUGCUUAUAUAUCACUCAAACCCUAAAUAUUAGGGCUUCCUUCUGACGUGAGUACGCCCAACGUACUAGGGCGCGCCUAGUAUGCUCAGCGUACCCUUAUGUACGCACAAUGUACUUCUCCUGGUCCCAGAAUUGCAACUUAGCCUUAGGCUUUUCAUGGAUUUACCCUUCCAUCCCCAGGGACUAUAAAUUGCAAAUCUUGGGAUGUUACAGAUAAGUAUAAAAUAGAUCACAAAUCCGGUAUCUUUGUGAUAAUAUUGGUUCUUAGUAUAGAUUAGACUCAGUCCCUUCAAAGGGAUAUACAUGCAUAGAUUAGUAUAUAUACAACCUUAGGGCAAACCCCUAAUGUUGUGUUCAUGGCUUUGUGUCAAUCACCUUUAUGACAAACCCCUAUUCUUGGUGAAAGAACAAAUUAGAGAACUUAUGUGUUAUUUACUUUCUAUUUAUUAGUUUUCUUAGCUUAGUUUUAUGUUUGUUAUUCAUACUUAAAGUUUGUCUGAUCAAUACAAACCUUCAAUUGGUAUCAGAGCGGGUUUUUUUAUAAACUCAAGUAAUCAUGUCGACUUCAAGCAAUUCCAAAUCUUUUGGUCUCAAUAAAAUUCCUCCCUUUUAUGAGCACAACUUCGUCAUGUGGAAAACCAAUGCCAUGGUGGUUCUUGAAACCAUGGACUAUGAGAUGAAAAAUAUUUUUGAAAAAUGUCCCCAUGUUCCUAUGUACCAACCCAUGGUCAACAACCCUCCCGUUGGCCCCUGAAGUAAAAGCCAUAGACGAUUUAUAAUGACGAUGACAAAAUAUUGCUUAGUAUUGAUGUAAAAUCCAUGGCUUAUGAAUCAUCUCAUACAAAAUUGUGAAUUAGCCCAAGAGAUGAUGGACAUGCUGAUAGUGGCUUAUGAAGGCAUUGUGGAAGUUUAGGUUACAACCAUUAAUACUAACAUCCAUAAAAUUCGAGUCAAUUUAUAACUUUUUAAAUCGUUUAAAACCAUUCAAUGAUUGCAAUUUGUUUUCAAAAUAGUUUAAACAUCAGAGUUCCCAAAAAUCUAUCGAGGAAGUGUACGGUCAUGUCUUCGCCUUCCCGCGGCCAUCUGCUGAACUUGAAACAAUAAACUGAAACUGUAAGCCUGAAAGAUUAGUGAGUUAGCCCCAAAAUACCAAUCCCAGACAGAUAACCAUAUCAUAUAAACAUAUAAGUAAUAGAACAACCAUGCAUCAAGAGUCGACUGGUCCUCCCGCACCGGGCCUUCAGUCCACCUGGUCCACUCUCUGAGUCUACAAUAUGACUAGACCACCCGCAUCGGGCCUUCAGUCUAUCUAGCCCACUCUCCGAGCCUCGGCACGUCUGUACCGCCCUCUCGGGGCCUUCAGCCUAUCCGGACCGCUCGUCGGGCCUUCGGCCUGACUAGGUGCCCUCCUGGGCCUACAGUCUAUCCGGUCCAUCCAGGGUAUGUUGGCCUACAACACGAAGAAGGACCCGCCUCAACCCACCCCCCAUACCAAUCAAACAAUCAUGUGCACAUAAAUAUCCUACGCUAGCAUGUAUAUAACAGAUAAUCAUACAAAUCUAAUAGAUCACUAACACAACAACCAUCCUAUAACCAGAAUACCGACCUAACCGGUCACUAACAUAACAUCAUCCUAUAUUCCAGGAUACCGACCUAAACCAGGCCACUAAUAUAAUACCAUCCUAUCUACCAGGAUGCAGAUCUAGCAGAUCAAUAAACAUAUCAAGCAAAUACCCGGAUACAAAUCCGAUAAAGGGCCGACCUUGGUGCCUUAGACCCUGUUGAUAUAGUGAGGAUAACUCACCUUGCAAUAUCGGACUGAACCACGAAAUCACGCUCCCGAAACACUGACCCAAACUCCAACACCUAUUACUAUCAAUGAUCCAAUUCAUAAAUACCCGCUUACCAAUUAUCCUCAAAAGUCAAACUGGUCAACCCUUGGUCAAAGUCAAAGUUAACGGUCAAGGUCAACAGUCCAUGUUGACCUCAACUCAUCGAGUACCAUUAGCUACUCACCGAGUUCCUUGCAUAACUCGCCAAGUCACUAGAGUGACUCAUUGCGUUCCCAAGGUUUGCGGUCAUAAACUCCUUGGUCGACUCGUCGAGUCUCCCAUGCAACUUGCCUAGUUCAUACAUGUCCAAAGGUUGGGAAAACCGUAGCUGACUCACCAAGUCACUCAUCUGACUCGCCGAGUCCACGACAAUCUUCAUCGGACUCGUCGAGUUAACCAUGCAACUCGCCGAGUCCCUUUAGUCCUUCAUCCGUACAGAAACUUCUUCGUGAAACCAAGGCUCCAAAAUAUAGAUCUACGCUCCUAGAGUGUUGUUAUCACGUAAAGUUGCUAACUUUACAUGCAUGCAAGGCUCUAUGGAACUAAAACACUCAUAACUAGCAUUAGGAGAAGGUUUUGCACAUGAAGGAGGGUCAAAACUUCAUAAAGCUUGAGGCUUUCUAUCCACAAAGCCUAGGGGAGUCAAGAUCUGAAACUUUGCCCUUGUGACAAGUUCAAAACCGAAAAUGACUCUAUCUUGCCCUAGAAAUGACCAUUUUCUUCCACAAAGGGGAGAACUAAGCAAUGAAAAGUAAAUGUGGUAGCUUUAUACCUUAAUCUUGAUGCCACAAUAUUGGAAAGGUUGGAUUUACAAGAUCUUUCUUGUCUCAAGCUCUCAACGCUUCAAGAAAUGCUCCAAAACACUCUCUUUUGGUCUCACGCACUUAAGAAUAUAUACUAGCUGGCUAUUAGGGUUUCUCUGGACGUGAAGGUGACAAGGGAGGUUGGGAAGGAAAGUUAAGGACCUUUAAAUAGGGUGUAAAACCCCAGAAUUAGGGUUUCAUCCUCCAGCUCCUACUCGUCGAGUCCCUUCUUGGACUCGGCGAGUAGGUCGCUUAAACACGUGGACCAACCCGCUGCUACUCGGCGAGUCAGGCAAAUAACUCAUCGAGUAGACCUUGAAAUCAUGAGAAAUAAUAACCUCAAACUGAUACUCGGGAAUCGGGGCGUUACAAUUCUCUCCCAAUUGAACUAUACUUCGUCCUCGAAGUCUGCUGCGGUGAACAACCUUGGAUAGUGCUCCCGCAUCUCUGCCUCCGGCUCCCACGUCCACUCGAACCCCCUUUGAGGCUCCCACUGUAUCUUUUCCAAAGGUACCUCCUUGUUCCGCAAAACCUUCACCCUUCUCUCCAGAGUGGCCACAUACCUCUCAACAUAACAAAGGCGCUCACCGACCUGAAUGUCAUCCAACGAUACUACCGCCUCCUAAUCCCUGAUGCACUUUCGCAACUGCGAAACGUGAAAGAUGAUGGGGUUUGAGCAUUCUAACACUCCUAUGGUGUACAUGCAACCCUAUAAACCUUGGAUCUAUGUUUUCUCUAUUAUACAUGCAAAUAUUUGAUAUUCCAAGGUUUCACCCUAACUAGCAUAAUAUGAAGCAGCUAUACUACAAAAGCCUAGUUAGAUGACAUACCUUUUGAUGUAGCUUGAAGUCUUGAACUUUAAGAGCUUAGCCCCAAUAGUGUGUAAGCCUCAAGUGGAAUCACAAAUUACCAAAAACACCUUGGAAAACUUGAGAGAAUAGAAUGCACAGUAGAAAUUGGCCCACUCUUGUAUCCUCACACACUAGUCCAUUUCAUGUGCCAAAGACCUCUUUAUAUAGUAUGGAGGAUUAGGGUUACAUUCAUGUAAACCCUAAUACCCAUUACCUUUCAUUUCCAUAGGAUCCAUGGGUUAAAAACUCCAUGGAGUAUCCAUGAAAGCUUAGCUGUAACAACGGAAAUUUUUAAACAAAUUUUUCAUUUCUAAAAAUGUAUUUUCAUCCCAAACAAGGCAUAAAUAUCCAACGUAUCAUGUCAUAAUACAAAUCAUAUGAAUCCCAAGAUCAUAAAUCAUCUAUCAGUGUGUACAGAUCAUGUCGGCGCCUUCCCACGGUCCUCGCUAGUACCUGAAACACAUACACAACAACUGUAAGCAUAAAUGCUUAGUGAGCUCCCCAAAAUACAACUUAUGUGCAUACGCCUUUCCAGGCCCUGAUCUUCCGGUCCAUGUGUCUCAGGGGACUUCCGUCCCUGCUGGGUAAACCUUCCGGUCCUACCCACGCCAACCCCUCGGUCCACAUUACAACGCCUUCCGGCCCAUAACAUAUUCGCCUUCCGGCCCAUAACAUAAUGCCUUCCGGACCACAUUAAGCAUAUCAUACAUAGCACAUAACAAUUAACUUAUCACAUAUAACACAUAUGUCUCAUAUCAUAUUCGACCUUCCAUUCACACAAUCAGACCCUUCCGGGUACAAUAUAGUGAGAAGACUCACCUCGUGAAUAUCGAUAGCUAGCAAAUCCCGAAAUCACUCGUGCUCGAUCCUCCGAGCUACAAUCUCCCUAUAACAUCAUACAUCUCUUAUUAACACUUUUACCACUAAGGUUGACUACCCUUUUUAAGUCAACACUAGUCAACUCUUGGUCAACGGUCAACGUUGAACGGACUCGGCGAGUGCACUAGGGCGACUCGGCGAGUCUAGACGUUUUCACCAACUUUCUAGGAUUCCCUUNNNNNNNNNNNNNNNNNNNNNNNNNNNNNNNNNNNNNNNNNNNNNNNNNNNNNNNNNNNNNNNNNNNNNNNNNNNNNNNNNNNNNNNNNNNNNNNNNNNNNNNNNNNNNNNNNNNNNNNNNNNNNNNNNNNNNNNNNNNNNNNNNNNNNNNNNNNNNNNNNNNNNNNNNNNNNNNNNNNNNNNNNNNNNNNNNNNNNNNNNNNNNNNNNNNNNNNNNNNNNNNNNNNNNNNNNNNNNNNNNNNNNNNNNNNNNNNNNNNNNNNNNNNNNNNNNNNNNNNNNNNNNNNNNNNNNNNNNNNNNNNNNNNNNNNNNNNNNNNNNNNNNNNNNNNNNNNNNNNNNNNNNNNNNNNNNNNNNNNNNNNNNNNNNNNNNNNNNNNNNNNNNNNNNNNNNNNNNNNNNNNNNNNNNNNNNNNNNNNNNNNNNNNNNNNNNNNNNNNNNNNNNNNNNNNNNNNNNNNNNNNNNNNNNNNNNNNNNNNNNNNNNNNNNNNNNNNNNNNNNNNNNNNNNNNNNNNNNNNNNNNNNNNNNNNNNNNNNNNNNNNNNNNNNNNNNNNNNNNNNNNNNNNNNNNNNNNNNNNNNNNNNNNNNNNNNNNNNNNNNNNNNNNNNNNNNNNNNNNNNNNNNNNNNNNNNNNNNNNNNNNNNNNNNNNNNNNNNNNNNNNNNNNNNNNNNNNNNNNNNNNNNNNNNNNNNNNNNNNNNNNNNNNNNNNNNNNNNNNNNNNNNNNNNNNNNNNNNNNNNNNNNNNNNNNNNNNNNNNNNNNNNNNNNNNNNNNNNNNNNNNNNNNNNNNNNNNNNNNNNNNNNNNNNNNNNNNNNNNNNNNNNNNNNNNNNNNNNNNNNNNNNNNNNNNNNNNNNNNNNNNNNNNNNNNNNNNNNNNNNNNNNNNNNNNNNNNNNNNNNNNNNNNNNNNNNNNNNNNNNNNNNNNNNNNNNNNNNNNNNNNNNNNNNNNNNNNNNNNNNNNNNNNNNNNNNNNNNNNNNNNNNNNNNNNNNNNNNNNNNNNNNNNNNNNNNNNNNNNNNNNNNNNNNNNNNNNNNNNNNNNNNNNNNAAACACUCCAUGGACUAUCCAUGAAAGCUUAGCCCAACCUAAAUGAACUUGGCCCACCAUAUAUAUAAAAGAGUUCAUAUUUAAUUAGUUCCUUUUUGAUCACUAAAUUAAUUCUAAAUUAAUUCUUGAUCAAUACUAAUUAAAUAAUAUGAUUCCAUAUUAAUAUAUUAGAACUUACAAUAUAAUAAUAUAAAUCAUAAACAUACUAUUCUCAAAAGACUAUCCAUAUAAAUUGUUCCGGUGAAGUGCAACCCAAAUGGACCAUGCUACUCUCGGGUCGAAUACAUACCAAUAAUAGUUAUGGGCUUAGACAUCUAAUCCAAUAGUCUCCCACUUGGAUAAGUCUAAAACUAUUAUUGCAUAUGACUCCAAGAUCCGGACUAGCAAUCGUAGCUCUUAAAGCCACUGUCGAACUCUGACCUAGUCAAAUGAAGUGUCCAUUAGAUAAGGGAUCAUAUAUUCCUCCAUUCUAGAUAUCAUAUGGACUGAUACAUGGAUUAUAAUCAUUCUCUAUGUCCAUUUGUUGUUUCCCGGUUUACGAUUUAUGACGACUGACUCAUUGAACAAAUCAAAUCAGUCCAGGCUUGGCCAAGCACUUAGGGGUGUCAUCACUAAAUCAUCGAGGAGCCCACAAAUAUCGCUCUUAUCCCUCCAAGGGUAAAAGGAAUGGAUAAAAUUUGACUCAUAUGCUUGUCCUACUACCUGUUGAAUCAUACACAAAGACACGUUUUAUAACAUCAAGUUACUGGUGCGUUUUCGUGCAAUCAAUGUAUAACCAACUCAUAGUUAACAACUCAUAUCUCUAGGUUUGAAGAAUAUAAGAUAUUAUCGUCUCAUGAUCACUCGUGAUAAAAUCCAUGAAGCGAUUCAAAUAAGCGUGGGUUAAUCCAAUACUCAUAACUUAUGAGCACCCAUGAAUGUUGUAACAACUCUUGCUAUGUACAACACCUUAGACAUCUACAAGCCAACUUCAUGACAUGCUUGCCUUAAUCCCUACUUCCAACGUAUUAUCGACUGUGGAUGGUUUGAAUAACUUAGUUAUUCAGGAAGAAUUACCCAAUUAUUCUGGAAGUCAAAACAUACAAAGUGAAACACAAGAAUAAUACUAAUUUAAUAUGGCCCCAAUCACCUUUGAGAGUAAAUAGAACACCUUUUAUUUAAACACCAUACUGAUUAAUCAUUAUUCAUUGUAUAAUGUUUCAAAUUUAUCAACUUAAUACUUGAAUUAAAACAAUAGUGGUCCCAUGCUCCAAACAUGUACACUAUGUUUUCUAAGCAAUAAUUAUGCCAUACACCAAGUAUGCACACUAUGUUUGUCUAUGAUCAUUACUUUGUGAAAUAGAUCAAUUGAACAUAAUUUCAAUGAUUCUCAUUUCACAAUACCAAAUCCUUACUGUAAAUAUAAGAAUUCCAAAUUCCUACCAUUUACCGAAAUUUGUUAGAUUAUAAACUUGUAUGCAUUGAUCCUCUCGUAAUGAAUAUGCACAAAGUCACAAAGACUUGUCAACAGACCUUACAAAGUAUUCCAAUGGAGAUCAUUCCAUGGAACCGAAGUCUCAAAUUCAAAGUAAACCUUAGAUUGUCCUCGACAAUUGCUUAAUCAAAUUAGUCAUAUCCAGUUCUAGUACUUUAUCCCUCUUAAUGCCCUGUGCAUUUGGAAAAAUUUAGAACAAAUGAAUAUUAUAACACAUGUAAUCGAUCCUAUAUCUGAAGCAUAUGGGACAAGAUUCAUGAUGCAUCACAUAAAGACAUGAUACUAGACCGGUCUUUUGCUAUAAUAUUUAUUUUUCUAUUUGCCAUGUUCUCAUAAUUCAGAUCAUGAAAAGAGAUGCCGUAAUCACAAUCGAAUUUUAGAACGCAAAUAAUGUUUCCAUAUAUAGAAUUUCCUUAUGUUGAACUAUUCCAACAUAACAUUCAUAUAUAUACUUGAUUAAAUUUGAUUAAAAUCUCACAAUCUAAGCUCUUAGAUUUGAAAUUAAGUAUAAUUUUCUCUCUCAAUUAUAGCAAAACAAUUUUUUCUCAAUUGAAACCUUUUGUUUUCUAUAAUUAACAUUGCUACCUUGCAGCACUUACCAUAAUUAUCAUGCUCCCACUAACAUGAUGACUAUUAGCAUAACACUUAUGCUCCCACUAGCUUUGACAUGUACUCAGAAAUCAGUUGGACUUCUAGAAAUCAAUACUUUAUUAACUUUCUUACCAGAGUUCAGAUUUAUGAUACGAGAUGCUUCGAUAAAACUUUAUCAAAAUCAUACACUUAUCCUUAGAUAUCACACAUAUGUGUCUAAACAACUUUGGAAUUAUGAAAAGGGAUGUCGUAAUCAUAGUCUCAAUUGUUUAUACCUUUGCCAUUCCUCGCAAGUCCAUGUUAGUGUGCCGGUUAACCACACACGCUCCAUUAACGACUUUGAGAAUGCAAAUAUCAUAAUUGCUAUUUACUUAAAAUCACUUAGUGAAAGCAUUUCCUCACCAUUAUUUUCAUGAAUCGGAGAGAAACCUUAUGACACUUAGAUUUUAUGGUGUAUGUGUUCCUAUCCAUGUGAAUUUGUCAAAACCAUAAUCACAAGACAAGGUUAGUGACAAGUCCAAACUCAUAUGGACUAAACUCGUGCAAUCUUAACUUCUUGCCACUUGGCAACCCAAGGGUCUGUCAUUGCUUCCAAGUUGUUAUGCAACAAAUUGAGAACUUUUAGAACUCAUAUGUAAAGCCAACUUUAACUAGAAUGGGCACAAAAAUAGGAAUAUGUCAACACGAUAGGUUAUAAAUCUCUAGUUGUGUGCUAGUGAUAAACUACAAGUUUUAUUCUUGAAUAGAUCUUGAAAUUCUUUCAGGAUCUUUAAUACUCCCAAUGUCCUCUUGACAAAUAAGACUCUCUUGCCAAAUAUUCAAGAUAUAGUGCAGAUUCUUUAUCAAGACAAACACUUCACACAAUUGACCUUAGUUGGUCUUUGUUUUAUCCAAAACAUCACAACUUACCAAUUUCAAAUGUACAAGAGUAUAACACAUUUUACUUUUACAUUUGACAAGUGUUGAUAAGCCUUCUUUAAGAUGUGUCACUCAAGUUAUAAUCUUGGGGUAUGACUCUAAGACUUGUUUUGGAACGAAGUAUGACUCAUCUUCUUGAUUUAACCACUUUAACAAUUCAUGACCUCUCUUCUUAGCCAUAAGAAUGCAUUAAGAUGUCCUUAGAGGAUGAAUUAUGAUAUGGUCUCAAAAUCAUUAAGAUGAUCAUAAACAUGAUACUAAAGUACUUUUCCAUCUUUUCAGAUUUGAGAAACUUUUGUCUUUCUGCCAAACUUGAUUCCUCUCAUUCGUUCUGCCACACAUCGAAACUUUUCCAAUCUUUCAAAAUUAUACUUAAACUUCUAAGUAUAACCAUAUUCACUAAACUUUAGUAAAUCAUAACAAAUAGUCUUAUCGAUCUUUUGUGGCGGACCUGACCAUCGCACAACCAAGUGUACCCAAUCCCUUUGUUCUUCACUUGACUCACAUAUACAUGUGAAUAAGGAAUUAGUCUUAAUUUUCCAAAGAUGAAAAAUCUCAUUCAUCAUACAACUUGCAUGAUUCCAAGUUUCGGUCCAAUUGAAAACUUGGGUGAUGAGAAUCUUUCCUUAUUUGGUAAAUUUAGACACUACCACAAAUGAAAGAAUCAAAUUAAUAUUUCCAUUAUUGCUAGAAACAUGUAAACAUCAAUUUUCCAUAAAUGUCAUUGCAAGGAGAUACAAAAUAAAGCAAAACAAAAUUUUAUUUAUUUAUAAGUGCAGAAAAAACUUUUUCCUUACAAUGCAACUUUAAAUGAAAACUAUGUUAUUACAUAUUUUCUAGCAAUCUAUCAUAACUCCUAAGCAAGGUUCUAAAUAACGUAAGGCGUGACUUGGCGGCAAUGUCAAGCCUCAAGCUUUUCCGAGCCUUGGCGAGUCACGAUGUUUGUAAGGCGUGACUUAAGGCGGCAAUUUUCUAUAUAAUUAAUAUUUUUAUAUGUAUUUUCAACUAUUAUUCAUUUUUAUACAAAUAUAUGAGUUAAGGCAGCGUUUUGGCAAAGCUUGGCGGCAUGUGCAAACCUUGGAGUUGUGGCGUGCCAUGGCGGAGCCAUGGCGAGCUUUUUAGAACCUUGCUCCUAAGUACUAGCUCAAGAAUCCGAUCUUCAAACCAUGCGAUCGAAAUCCAUCUUCACGAUCAGAUUCAGCAUACUCUUUCUUUAAGUUUCCUCCCCUUUGCUUGAUCAUGCCAAACAUAAAAGUGUAACCGAGUCACAUUUUGUAUUAAGAGUCGUCAAUUAGGAACUUAACAAAGUUAGAUAUUGGACUUUACCUGAAGUAGAGUCAAACUUUUUGACUUUACCAUCCUUAUGAUCUUUCAGGUAAAUUUUGCAGCUUCGCAACCAAUGCCCCUUCCUUUGCCAAUAGAAACAUUUGGACUCUCUGGGAAUGGUACACGGGACAAUCUCAGACUUAGCCUUUCUCUUUACCAUUUGGUCAACCGAGUUGACUAUGGCCGAUCCCUUUCCAUUGGGAAGAGAAAGCUUUUCUGGAUAUCCAAUGUUACCAAUUGUUAAUGUCCAUGGUAGUUUGGGAAGUUGAUCUUCUAAUUAUAUUUGCUUUACUAGAGCUCCAAAUCAUUGUUGAUUCAGCAACACCAAGCAAAUAGAUAAGAUCAUUAAGGGUCAUGUCAUAGUCUGUUACAUAGUAAUCCUUAAAGAACUCACUAUGUGACAUAGAAAGUGAUCGAAGAACCAAGUCAACAACCAACUUCCUCAAGACUUUGAAACCCAACUCUCCUGACUUGUCAAUAUGUGACUUCAUCUCCAAGAUGUGAGCAUACAUAGACUUUGCUUGCCAAUAGGGCUUGAGUGACCUUGAACUUUUCAAGAACUUGUGGGUUAAGGAGAAUAAUUGGAGGAGGUGGAGGAAGAGAAGUACAAUUUCCAUUUACCAACCACAAAACAUCAUCUUUAUUAGGAAAGCUUGUUCCAAAAGAUUUGGGAAGAUCAUAGUUGUCUGAACCAGACAUCUAUAAUGGGAGAAAUUCAAGUUAGUUGAUUUAAAGUUCUUAAUAUAACACCUAACAUGAAAUAUUAAGUAUAGGACCCAACACAAUGUUUUAUAACUUUGAAGAGGGAUGCCGUAAUCCAAGCUAUAAAAUAUUUGAAAGUAGGCGAAUGACGAUUCACCAAUUUCCACCAUGAAAAACGAAAUAAUUUAUUAGGUUUUAAUUGGAUUUGAAAUUCCUAGAUCUUUUGAGAUUCAUUGAACUUUUCAAUGACAUGUUUCAAUCUCGAUUGUGCCCUCUCAAGUUUUGUGACUGGGAUGACGAGGAUCACAAAACAAGAUGUGAAUAACCAUGAAAAUAUACUUGGUACCCUUAAUAUUUAUCACUUAAUCGAUGUGCCGGUUAACCACACGCGCUCCACCGAUUCUAUGAUAAACAUUAAGUUACCCUUUUCCUACCUUGUUAAAUCCAGGCUAGUGUGCCGGUUAACCACAUGUGCUCCACUACCGAGUUAAGCAAAGUGCAAAGUGUAAUUUCAUGGGUUAGCACCAAAUUCACAUUUUCCUAAAGUAACUAAGAUUGGGAAUUUAAAAAGGUUUAGUUACUUUAUAUUUAUCAUUAUACGUAUAAUGAAGGGAGAAUUAUAGUCCUAUCCUACCCGUUCGGCUAACGACACUCCACCAGUCAAGGAAGUCAUGGGUGAGAGUGGACGCCCAUUAAACUGCCAUUUUAUAGGCAGUAACCUUAUACCCCCUUAUAGACCGACUUCGUGAAUGAGGCCUACUAAUGGUAAGACUGACUUUAUUCUUAUAUAUAUAUAUAUAUAUAUAUAUAUAUAUAUAUNUAUAAGGGUUUAAUUUUAACUUUUAAAAUUCUAAGGACUUAACUUGGAAUUAAAGUAUUCAUGAGGGGAAACUUUACAAAUUCCAAAACCUGAGGGCAAGUUUUGAACUAUUCAAAACUUUUGGAUUUUCAUAGCUUAUGAGUUUAAUUAAGGUUUUGAAAAAACUUUAAUGAAGAGACUUUUGAUCAUGCAUAAUUUGAGGACAAGUUAUGGAGUUCAUAGAACAAUUUAUGAUGAAAAAGACUCUUUAAUUGUGUAACCUAUGAAUUUUAAUGGAUCUUUAAAAGAAACGACUUUUGGUAAUCGAUAACUUGAGAACAAAUUAUGGACUACAUUAAAAUAAAUUUAGAUCAAGAAUUAAUUAACAACCAAUUUGCAAAUAAUUCCUAUGAUCUACCAAAACUCAUAAGUGUAUGAACAAUCAUAUCAACAAUUUCAAGAAGUACAUAAACACACAUAAAACUUGAAAUUUUGAUAACAACCUUGAAAUUGGUGAACCNGUUUACCAUAAUCAUUACCACAUCAAAAAACAGGUUUUAUAAGUCCAAAACAGUUUAAGGUAAUGAUUUUAGACCAAUUUCAGCCUUAAAACUCGAAGAUAUUUUGUCAGGGGGUCCAACUCAUCAAGUGUAGGAACCAACUCGACGAGUUGGAUGACUUUAGGCAUGGACUCGUCGAGUCCCUUAAUGGAAUCAGCGAGUCAGCUGUCCAGACAACAUACAAACUACGAUUUUUAGCUAUUUGCAUCAAGUAUAAAUGAAAACAAGACUAGGCUCUGAUACCACUGAUUGGUUUUGAGCAUUCUAACACUCCUAUGGUGUACAUGCAACCCUAUAAACCUUGGAUCUAUGUUUUCUCUAUUAUACAUGCAAAUAUUUGAUAUUCCAAGGUUUCAUCCUAACUAGCAUAAUAUGAAGCAGCUAUACUAUAAAAUCCUAGUUAGAUGACAUACCUUUUGAUGUAGCUUGAAGUCUUGAACUUUAAGAGCUUAGCCCCAAUAGUGUGGAAGCCUCAAGUGGAAUCACAAAUCACCCAAAACACCUUGGAAAACAUGCAAGAAUAGAAUGCACACUAGAAAUUGUCUCACUCUUGUAUCUUCACACACUAGUCCAUUUCAUGUGCCAAAGACCUCUUUAUAUAGUAUGGAGGAUUAGGGUUACAUUCAUGUAAACCCUAAUACCCAUGACCUUUCAUUUCCAUAGGAUUCACAGGUUAAAAACUCCAUGGACUAUCCAUGAAAGCUUGGCCCAACCUAAAUGAACUUGGCCCAUGCUAUAUAUAUACGAGUCCAUAUUUAAUUAGUUUCUUUUUUAUCACUAAAUUAAUUCUAAAUUAAUUAUUGAUCAAUGCUAAUUAAAUAAUAUGAUUUCAUGUUAAUAUAUUAGAACUUAUAAUAUAUUAAUAUAAAUCAUAAACAUACUUUUCUAAAAAGACUAUCCAUAUAAAUUGUUCCGGUGAAGUGCAACCCAAAUGGACCAUGCAACUCUCGGGUCGAAUACAUACCAAUAAUAGUUAUGGGCUUAGACAUCCAAUCCAACAAAAGAUGAUGUGAAACCCAGCCGAACCUUUUAAAAAAGGUCUAUCCUACAAGCCACUUUACCAACUGACAGAAUCCUGAUGAUCCAACGUAUCAAAAACCCAACUUUCCCUCCUUCUGAGGCGAACCCUUUAUGCUGACGGGACAUUUGUCCCACAACAUCAUACAAAAAUCAAUCCACUGAAACACGAACACCCAUGACUGGCCUAAUCAGCCUCGGGCUGGAAUACCAGGCAUGCCUACGACGGGUCCAGUCAUCCCUAGGAUGGAAUACCCUCGCGUCCUACAAGUGAAUCCCAAUUCAUACACAUACUUCAACUCUUCCUGCUACCAUAUGAUGUUUCCCAGACGAAUUCGAAACCUCCCUGGUCCCACUUGUCUGUCCACUACCCGCAACACCGGACGCCUCACUGAUUACUGAACCAAAAGACCUACACAAACAUCAUUCCCAUGCGUCUCCCGAAAAGUAAACUGACUGGCUGGACUUGCUUCCACGCCCUGCUAUCAGCCUCUGCUAACACAAGGAACGCUACAUGACCCACGGCAGCCUCAUAUCCUACCUGAUCUCCAGCGACCCAUCUCUUCCUCAUUUCAGACACACUAUGGCUCUUCCACAUAUUAAAUCAACCCAAGACACGUCACAAUAACUCGAACCAUUGUCAACAUACCUACCACUACUGGCCCACCAGUAUGCCGCUCAUAUCUAGCCUAUACCAACCUUCGGGCGGGAAUACCAAUAUGCCAAGUCCAAUUGAUCAUAGGGUCCGGUCAUCCUCGAGAUGGAAUACCCUAUAUUGGAAUACCAACAUGUUAAAUCAAUUCGACUAUCUAUUUGGUUUUCUUAGGGUUUGUUGGCUUACCGCCUCAACCCCAUCGCUCCUUUUGAGCCUCCGUGCCUACGACUUUUAGUCGGCCCACACCGGGUAUCUUGGCCUACUGCAUAGGGCUGAGGCGGUUCGGCCUGCUGCUAGUGACUCGGCGAGUUGGCGAGUUAUGCAAGGAACUCGGCGAGUAGCUUAGGGUACUCGACGAUUUGAGGUCAAUAUGGACUAUUGACCUUGACCGUUAACUUUGACUUUGACCAAGGGUUGACCAGUUUGACUUUUGAGGAUAAUUGGUAAGCGAGUAUUUAUGAAUUGGAUCAUUGAUGGUUAUAGGUGUUGGAGUUUGGGGCAGUGUUUCGGGAGCGUGAUUUCGUGGUUCAGUCUGACAUUACAAAGUGAGUUAUCCUCAUUAUAUCAACAGGGUCUAAGGCACCAAGGUCGGCCCUUUAUCGGAUUUGUAUCUGGGUAUUUGUUUGAUAUGUUUAUUGAUCUGCUAGAUCUGCAUCCUGGUAGAUAGGGUGGUAUUAUAUUAGUGGCCUAGUUUAGGUUGGUAUCCAGGAAUAUAGGAUGAUGUUAUGUUAGUGACCGGUUAGGUCGGUAUCCUGGUUAUAGGAUGGUUGUUGUGUUAGUGAUCUAUUAGAUCGGUAUGAUUAUUUGUUAUAUACAUGCUAGCGUAGGAUAUUUAUGUGCACAUGAUUGUUUGAUUGGUAUGGGGGUUGGGUUGAGGCGGGUCCUGCUUCGUGUUGUAGGCCAACAUACCCUGGAUGGACCGGAUAGACUGUGGGCACAGGAGGGCACCAAGUCAGGCCGAAGGCCCGACGAGCGGUUCGGAUAGGCUGAAGGCCCUGAGAGGGCGGUCCAGACGUGUCGAGGCUUGGAGAGUGGGCCAGAUAGACUGAAGGUCCGGUGCGGGCGGUCCAGUCAUACUGUAGACUCAGAGGUGGACCAUGUGGACUAAAGGCCCGGUGCGGGCGAACCAGUCACACUGUAGACUCGUGAUGCAUGGUUGUUCUGUACUUAUAUGUUUAUAUGAUAUGAUUAUCUGUAUGGCAUUGGUAUUUUGGGGGUACCUCACUAUGCUUUUGGGCUUACAGUUUCAGGUUCAGCAGAUGGUCGUGGGAAGGCGAAGGCGUGACAAUACACUUCCUUGAUUGAUGAUUAUUAUUUAUGGGAACUCUGAUGUUUAAACUAUGUUGAAAACAAAUUGUAAUAAUUGAAUGGUUUUAAAUGUUUUAAAUUUUUUUAAAUUACCUCGAAUUUUAUGGAUGUUUCAAACCAUCGUAUAACCAGGAUACUGACCUAACCGGUCACUAACAUAACAUCAUCCUAUAUGCCAAGAUACCAACCUAAACCAUGCCAUUAAUAUAAUACUAUCCUAUCUACCAAGAUGCAGAUCUAGCAGAUCAAUAAACAUAUCAAGCAAAUACCAAGAUACAAAUCUGAUAAAGGGCCGACCUUGGUGCCUUAGACCCUGUUGAUAUAGUGAGGAUAACUUACCUUGCAAUGCCGGACUAAACCACGAAAUCACUCUCCCGAAACACUGCCCCAAACUCCAACACCUAUAACCAUCAAUGAUCCAAUUCAUAAAUAUCCGUUUACCAAUUAUCCUCAAAAGUCAAACCGGUCAACCCUUGGUCAAAGUCAAAGUUAACGGUCAAGGUCAACAAUCCAUGUUGACCUCAACUCGCCGAGUACCCUUAGCUACUCGCCGAGUUCUUUUCAUAACUCGCCAACUCGUCGAGUCACUAGAGUGACUCAUCACGUUCACAAGGUUUGCGCUUGUAAACUCCUUGGCCGACUCGUCGAGUCUCCCUUGCAACUUGCCUAGUUCAUACAUGUCCAAAGGUUGGGAAACCCUAGCCGACUCGCCAACUCACUCAUUUGACUCGCCCAGUCCAUGACAAUCUUCAUCAGACUCGCCGAGUUGACCAUGCAACUCACCGAGUCCCUUCAGUCCUUCAUCCAUACAGAAGCUUCUUCGUGAAACCAAGGCUCCAAGCUGUAGAUCUAGGCUCCUAGGGUGUUGUUAUCACGUAAAGUUGCUAACUUUACGUGCAUGCAAGGCUCUAUGGAACUAAAACACUCAUAACUAGCAUUAGGAGAAGGUUUUGGACAUGAAGGAGGUUCAAAGCUUCAUAAAGCUUGAGGCUUUCUGUCCACAAAGCCUAGGGGAGUCAAGAUCUGAAACUUUGCCCUUGUGACAAGCUCAAAACCGAAAAUGAAUCUAUCUUGCCCUAGAAAUGACCAUUUUCUUCCACAAAGGGGAGACCUAAGCAAUGAAAAGUAAAGGUGGUAGCUUUAUACCUUAAUCUUGAUGCCACAAUACUGGAAAGGCUGGAUCUACAAGAUCUUUCUUGUCUCAAGCUCUCAACGCUUCAAGAAAUGCUCCAAAACACUCUCUUUUGGUCUCACGCACUCAAGAAUAUAUACUAGCUGGCUAUUAGGGUUUCUCUAGACGUGAAGGUGACAAGGGAGGUUGGGAAGGAAAGUUAAGGACCUUUAAAUAGGGUGCAAAACCCUGGAAUUAGGGUUUCAUCCUCCAGCUCCUACUCGUCGAGUCCCUUCUUGGACUCGGCGAGUAGGUCACUUAAACACGUGGACCAACCUGCUGCUACUCGGUGAGUCAGGCAACUAACUCUUCAAGUAGACCUUGAAAUCAUGAGAAAUAAUAACCACAAAUUGAUACUUGGGAAUCGGGGCGUUACACUUAAUCGGAGAUACGAACAUUUCUUUGCUCAACAAGGUGAGUUUCUUAUCCAAACAUUCAAUAAGUUUAAUUAUUUGGUUAAUAAUAUGUGUAUGAUAGGAAUCAUCAAACACUCAUGACAGGUGGUUUUGAAGUUUCUCGAUUCUCUUGGGAAAAGUUGGGAGCAUCACGUUGAUGUUCUUAAGAAUGGUGAGAAGAUCGAUACCAUGGAUCUAAAUUCAUUGUUCGAUAACCUGCGAAAUUAUAAAGAGACCAAAGCUCUUCAUAUUGAAAUCAUGAAGGACUACAACAAGGAAAAAUUUGUUGCCCUGGUGUCUCAAAAGGAAGCAAGGAAGACCAUCAACAACUCAAUAUUUCAGAUCAGGGUGAAGAAAGUGAUGAAGAUCUCACCGAUAAGCUUGUUUCCAGCGCUGCACUUAUCGUCAAGCACUACGAAGAAAGUAGAGUAGAUGGCGUUAGAAGAGUUGAGUUCAAGGGACGCAAUUCAGCAAGGAGAUCCACUUCCGAAAAGAGAAACUCAUGUAAUUACUUUAAUUAUAGUAGACCUUACCAUUUUUCCAGGGAUUUCAAGGAUAAGAAAGAAGCCCAGAGCCAUGAGAACUAUGAAGUCUUGUAUAAAAAGCUAGUGGCUCAUAUGAAGAAGGAAAACAUCUCUUUAUCAAAAGAUUUCAUUGCAAAAGAAGAUCACGAAGAAUGGGUGGAUGAAGAGAGGACAUCUGAAGAUGAGGGACCUGACUGGUUUGUGACACUGAUGGUUGUCACGCUGGUAAAGGAUCAAGUCCAAAUCUAUGUCAAAGUUGGUACCGAGAUAGUAGAAGCUCUAGACACCUGACUGGUUACAAGUCCCUUUUAACAGAUUUUGCAGAUAAGGAUGGUCCAAUGGUAACUUUUGGUGACAAUAGUGGAAGAGAUAUUACAGGCGUUGGAACUUUUGAAUGUAGGACAAUUAAGCUGGAGGACAUGUGUUAUGUAGAAGGUCUGAAAGGCAACUUCAUCUCUAUCAGUCAACUUUGUGAUGUUGGUUACAAAGUUCUUUUUAAUCGUCAUCAGGAAAAGGUGUUUGAUUAUGAGAACAAAAUUGUGCUUUCAGCUCUCAAGGAAAACUAUAUUUAUAUGGUUUUGAUUUAUUGGUUUAGACGGUGAUACAUUAUUUUUGUUAUAUGCUUUGCUACUCUUAAAUUUUUUAACAUAAGUUGCUACACUUUUAUUUUUGGUUUGUUUGCAUUAAAAUCUUCUUUUAUACUUUACCAAAGGAGUAUACUUUAUACAUUUUUCUACUAACAUUUCCUACAUGAUCUUCUCUAUCCAUAGUGACCUUAUCUGACCGAUCUACUUCGAAGGGAUCAACAUGUCAUUUCUUGAAUGCAUCACUCUCAUUGUAAGAGCCAGUUGAUGCUGACUCUGCAUCUUUUCUUCAGCAACAACUUCCCUCUCACUGACGUUGAUGCACACACUGAUUGACAUGUUGAUUUAUGCUGAUAAGACCAUAUGGGAGAUAAUUGUGCCACCAAGUGUUGUUCUAGGUACAUAUCUCUUCUAUCUUGAACAACCUAUUUCUGUUUCAACGAGAUGAGAUGAAGUUAGGUGACCUAGCACGACUAAUUUCCAGAAACGUUAUCACUACAAACUCAUCACCUCAAAGAUCCAAAGACAUCCUCAACAAGACAGUGAUCCCACAUUUUCUUCCUUCAUGGAUCACAAUGAAUGGAACCUUCGAGUAUUGUCUUUGUGACUCUCAUAACUCAAAGGUUACAAAGAUUGGAUCCCUCUAACUUGUUGGUUACAAAGACUGGUUUAUGUUCUUCUUUUUUUCUUGGUGAACAUGAAGCUUGGACUCAAUUUGCAGAACCUCAACGAUUAAAGGCAUUAUAUCUUCUUGUUUACUAUGAAUUGUGUUGCUUUUAUGUGAUAUGGAAUCAUUUUUCUUUUUCUUCCAUUUCUUGGGGCAUUAUAAGAUAGAAUGUAUUGUCCUUAACCACAUUUGCUUUGCAAUCUUUGGCAAAGUGAUUUUCUUUAUUACAUUUGUGGCAGAUGAUGACUUCACUUUUCCCUUCAAUUGAGGUGGUUUGUUGGACUAUGGUGCCUCUUUGAAAUGACGUGCAUUCUGCAGUUGCGGUGGAUGGCGAGGGUUUCGAGGAUAUCGUGAGUGGUUAUACUACUGAUUGAAGUUACGGUUAAAAGGUAGUUUUGUGAAUUGCUGAUUCUUACAAAAUGAGGUUGGUGGUAGUCGGUUGGAUUGCUGGCUAACCAGGGCAAUGACAUUUUGGAAUUCUUCUUUAUCAUCCAUUUCAACAUCAGCUUCAUAUGAUUGCGGUGGGUUAUCAUAUGAAAUUGGGUAGGAUGAUUCGGUAUGAGUAUUGUGAGGUUUUGGUUUGUGGAGUUUGAGUUAUCAGGGCAAGUGGUCCGCCGAGGUCACCACAAUCUUUUAGCACAAUUGAUUCUUGUGCCUGAAGUUCUCCAUGUAUUUUGAACAAAGACAAAGUAUGGAUCUUUUUAUCUUUUUGUAUAAUCAUUUUUGCGGUAGACCAAUGUCUUCCCAAACCAUUGAGAAACUGUAGGUUUGUUUCGUGAUUGCUUCAAACUGUACUAGCAUUUAAUAAUUUUGUAACGAUGAGACUGAAUCGUUUGAACGAGUCGUCUAGACUUUCACCAGGAAGAGCUUUGAAAUUGUUGAACUCAUUGAGAGCAGUGAUGAGUUUCUUAUCAUGUGCUUGUUCCGACCCUUGAUAGAGUUUUUUAAGCACAUCCCAAAUCUCCUUAGCAGAUUAGCAGUUGACGAUGAUGUCAAAGUUUUCUGGAGCUACACCGCAAGAGAUUUCAUAGAAGGCUAUAGCAUCAUUUUCCAUUUUGUCAAGAACAUCUUUGGUUGGUCGAUUCAUUGCAGUCAGAACUUCACCUAGUCUGGCUUGAGUACCAUCUGCUUGAACAGGAGUAAGAACAGGGACAUGAGGUCCUUCUUCCACAGAUCUCCACACAUCUCUUCCAAGCCUCUUAAGAUACCUUUUCAUUCUCAGGUAGCUUGUCUACAUAAGACCCCUCACUUAUGGCUAGGAAGUGAGCAAUCUUCGUCAAAUGAUCCACUAUCACCCAAAUAGCAUCAAAACCCCUUGCAAUCUUUGGAAAUUUUGUAAUAAAAUCCAUCGUGAUCUGCUCCCACUUCCAUAGUGGAACCUCCAAGGGCUGCAACUUUCCGUGAGGGUCCUGGUGCUUGGCCUUGACCAUCCGGCAGGUCAAGCAUCGCUCUACAAACCAAGACCCAUCCCUUUUAAUACAUGGCCUCCAAUAACUAUGCUUCAGAUCAGGGUACAUAUUGGUAGCCUCGAGAUGAAUGGGGAAUCUCAACUUGAGGGCCUCCUCCAUUAAUACCCGUCAAGCCCCACCUGCAUACGACACCCAAACCCAUCCAUAAAGAGUCAAAAGUCCCCUAAUGUCAACGUCAAAGGCGAAAAUUUUACCAACCAUCCUAUCACUCUUUCGGUUCUCUUCCUUAAUGGCCUCUGACUGUGCUUCCUUGAUCGCUUCCAUCCUCAAACAUACAUCCUGAAUCAAGGCACUUACUGUUCUUCGAUUCAAGGCAUCAACCACCUCAUUGGCCUUGCCUAGGUGUUAGAGAAUCUCACGAUCAUAAUCUUUCACUACAUCAUACCACCUACUCCGCCUCAUGUUCAGGUUAGGCUGAUCCAUAAGAUAUCUCAGGCUCUUAUGUUCCGUGUAUAUGGUACAUUGGACAGCAUAAAGAUAGUGGCGCCAAAUCUUGAGAGAGAACACCACUGC
rnacentral:lncRNA from 1 species